rnacentral:lncRNA from 1 species
UCAAAAUGAGUAUAUUUUUAAACCAGUCUUUGUCAUAACAGACAUGACGGUUUGCACCAGAAUCAGCCCACCAUCCAUCAACACUCUCACCCAUGUUUAUGUCGGUAAUCACCGCCACAAAAGGUUCUUCGGUAACGUUUGCCUGAGGGUUAGGACCACGUUUCCGGAAUCUGCAAAAUCGAGCAAUAUGCCCACUCUUGCCACAAACAAAGCAUG